GCGCUCACUUCCCCAGCACAGACACUAAAAUUGGAAUGAUACGGAGAUUAGCAUGGCCCCUACACAAGAAGGAUGACACAUGAAACAUGUAUUGAGAGCACUUACAU